AGAAAUCAUUAAAACAAUAAAAAAAAGGGCAUUUUUUUUUUUUUUUUUUUUUUUUUUUCUUUUUUUUUUUUUUUUUU
rnacentral:ribozyme from 1 species